UACAGAGGGUGCAAGCGUUGUUCGGAAUUAUUGGGCGUAAAGCGCGUGUAGGCGGCUUUGCAAGUCGGGUGUGAAAGCCCUCAGCUUAACUGAGGAAGUGCGCCCGAAACUGCAGAGCUUGAAUACCGGAGAGGAUGGCGGAAUUCCCCAAGUAGAGGUGAAAUUCGUAGAUAUGGGGAGGAACACCGGUGGCGAAGGCGGCUAUCUGGACAGAAACUGACGCUGAGGCGCGAAAGCUAGGGGAGCAAACAGG
rnacentral:rRNA from 1 species